CAGUUAAUAACGAUUGCGUGAGUUGUAAGCAAUUUAUAAUUGGAAAAAAAAAGGUAGAGGGAGUUGUCGAUCACCUGCUUGGAAUUCACGAAGCCUGUCUCCUUUUGUCACAGGAUAUGGAUCAUGGUGACCGGUUGCUAUGAUCAGGUAAUCAUAUGGAACCAGACGCCCAUCUUUAGUCAUGACCUCUUUCGAUUUAAUAUCGACUGCAGUAGUUGUCAUCAGAUUUACAUUUGUCAGGUAUUCUUUAUGAUUGAUGAUCGUCCUAUCGGCAAAAGUCGGUUCAACCUUGGCCCUCAUUUCCGCCCAUGUGAUCUCAAAGUACUCCUUCCUGGUUAUUUUUCACGGCACAACACAUUUCAGAAGAAAGAAAGAAAAGAAAAAACCAAAAUUCCGAACGAACGAGACAUACGGAUCGAUAAGGACGACAUCUGAAUGGGACUGGAGAGCUUUCGCAACAGUACCACCGGCGAUGCCUCCUCCGACGAUAACCACACACGGUUUCUUCCCCGCCAUGGAUCAAUAUCAAAAUAAGUUGUUCGAGGUGCGAAAG
rnacentral:lncRNA from 1 species